rnacentral:tRNA from 1 species
ACUUUUUUAAUAUAAUCAAUAUAGAUGGCUUCCACUCAUCCAAUCCUGGCAAAUCCAGGAAAAAGUA